rnacentral:rRNA from 1 species
GACGAACCGUGCAAACGUUGUUCGGAAUCACUGGGCUUAAAGGGCGCGUAGGCGGGCUCUCAAGUCGGGGGUGAAAUCGUUCGGCCCAACCGGACAAGGGCUUCCGAUACUGAGAGUCUCGAGGGAGGUAGGGGUCGAGGGAACUGGUGGUGGAGCGGUGAAAUGCGUAGAUAUCACUAGGAACGCCGGUGGCGAAAGCGCUCGACUGGACCUCUUCUGACGCUGAGGCGCGAAAGCCAGGGGAGCAAACAGG